GCAAGUGUGCAACAAAAGUUGUCGACUUUGCUCCGGCCGUUCCCGGUAAGGCUAGCAUCUCUUUUGAGUUCAUUAAUCUGGCAAUUGAGGUCAAUUUAGAACAACCAAUUUACGCGAACACCCAUACGUUACUGUAAGUCGAUCACCUAAGUUAUUUGUUUGUGAGUUGUGCUUUGUUUGAUCUUUUCCCUUAGUUGAGUCGCGAUGAGGAUUACUGAGGUAGUUAGGCAUUGCAAUGCAGAUCCGAACUCUAAACAAGAUGGGAACCCUCAAACAACCAAGGGGGAACAUUUACCUAUUGUUGAUAAGCAACUCCAAUUUACUCCUCCAACUGAAUCGGCAGAAAAAUCAUUCGAAGCAGAAUUUGUCUCAAGCUCUUCACAGCCUGAAGUUUCUUCCACUUCAGGGCAGAAGGAUCCACCUGUGACUGAGAACAGCG
rnacentral:lncRNA from 1 species